CUCUCUCUCUGUUAUUUGGGAUUUCUGCCUAAUUGCUUGCCAUUUUUAAAUGUUUGCGGUCUGCAGGAACAGACAGUGACGGACGUCAUCGGAUUGACCUUUAAUCGGAGAAGGUCCUUUCAGUGUCUCCGACUCCAGAAGUGAUGUGUGAAAUCUCAGAAUCUUCCGACCGAAUAUUAACCUCACGUGAACCUCGUGUGUGUCCACAGAUCGCCGAGAUCCUGACCAAGACCAAACCCUCCGUCCUGCUCACGCUGCGAGGCUUGAACACCGACAGUGGCAGUAUCUCCCGUGAAGCGUCCUUUGAAGGAAUCAGCCGUUAUCUCCACACAACGACGCUUCUGUGGGUCGCUUCUGAAGAUACAGAUCUUCUGCGGGUCUUUUCUUUGAUGUCGGACAGAUUCAGAAGAUGAAAUGGCCAUAAUCUCUUGAAAUUAAACUGCAGUUCAGUAAAUCAGUAGAUCUAUGAGACAGAAUUGGAUGAGAACGUUCCUGAGGCUUUGAUUGAAGAUGAAUCGCUCGGCUCUCGCUGGCGUUUCAUGUAAAGAAGCAGAAGUUCUUAAAUCCGGGAUCCUGAUUACUCGUUUUUAAUGUGAUCGUUUUUAUCAUCACGUUGUAAUGAACAUGGUUUCAUUAUCAAACCAAAAGACACGGAAAUGAAACGUUCUAAUAA